rnacentral:misc_RNA from 1 species
CCCUCCGCCCAGAUGCCGAUAAACCGAAACAAAAUCCUCAAACCAUUAAUUAAUCAAUUCAAACCAUUUACUAAUCAUUAUCAAAUGCACCCGUAAAGUAAAUUUUCGGGGAAGGAUGGAUUGCCUGUACUGACGUACAGGUACAUGAAGUCAUGUAUAGGUGCUGUAUACUGGACGCUUACUGGACCUGGUUAGGAUAACA